AGCCUGCCCUCCGCGGAAU
rnacentral:misc_RNA from 1 species